rnacentral:rRNA from 1 species
UUUUCGGCAAUGGGGGCAACCCUGACCGAGCAACGCCGCGUGGAUGAAGAAGUCUUUCGGGAUGUAAAAUCCUUUUCUCUGGGAAGAAAAAAGACGGUACCAGAGGAAUAAGCAUCGGCUAACUACGUGCCAGCAGCCGCGGUAAUACGUAGGAUGCAAGCGUUGUCCGGAAUUAUUGGGCGUAAAGGGCGCGCAGGCGGUACAUCAAGUCAGACGUGAAAGUCCUCGGCUUAACCGAGGAGGGUCGUUUGAAACUGAUGAACUAGAGUGCAGUAGAGGAAGGUAGAAUUCUGGGUGUAGUGGUGAAAUGCGUAGAUAUCCAGAGGAAUACCAGUGGCGAAGGCGGCCUUCUGGGCUGUAACUGACGCUGAGGCGCGAAGGCUAGGGGAGCAAAC